GAUGAACGCUGACAGAAUGCUUAACACAUGCAAGUCUUUGGCUAAGCUGUGCUUGCACAGCCUAGCCAAGGCGGACGGGUGAGUAACGCGUCAGGAACUUGCCCUGCAGUCAGGGAUAACAGACGGAAACGACUGAUAAGACCUGGUAAAGUCAGGCGGACUCAUGUCCAGCCUGAUGAAAAGAGAUGCUGCAGGAGAGCCUUGCGUCCUAUUAGCUUGUUGUUGGGGUAACGGCCCACCAAGGCGAUGAUAGGUAGCCGGCCUGAGAGGGUGGACGGCCACAAGGGGACUGAGAUACGGCCCUUACUCCUACGGGAGGCAGCAGUGGGGAAUAUUGGACAAUGGGGGCAACCCUGAUCCAGCAAUUCUGUGUGCACGAUGAAGGUUUUCGGAUUGUAAAGUGCUUUCAGCAGGGAAGAAAAAAAUGACGGUACCUGCAGAAGAAGCGACGGCUAAAUACGUG
rnacentral:rRNA from 1 species